UUAUGUAUCCUGUCUUAUAUUGUCUUGUAGAUGUAUUCUACUGCUUUUUGACAUCACGGCCAGGGGACUACAGAUGAAAACUCGCCUUCUGGCUAAUUUUGCCUUUUUUAACCAUGUGUACUUCAUGUGUUUUAUGAAAUUGCAUUGUCCCCUUUCAAAAAUAAACUGAACUGGGAUGUCGUUGAUCUUUGUCAACUGGGGGCCUUUGAAUCAAAUCAAAUUGUAUUUAUAUCAGACUUUUCAUACACUAAAAAUGCAACACAAUGUGCUUCACAAGGAUAAAAAUAGCAGAAAAUAUAGAAAAACCCAACCCUCCCACACCAGUGCUCCCCUACGGACACACACACCCUCACGUGUACACACGCACAGCACAUAUUGAAUAAUAGUGCGGAGACAAGGCAAGGCACUGAGGAUACGGGUCAGGAAAGACAACAUCCACGCCGAGAGGUGCCACAGCCCGUAGCCACAGAGACCACCGGACCCUCCGCAUUGUGCAGAGCGCCAGUCUUCCGGGUCCAGGGAAACUACAGGGCGGACCGAACACAACUCUCAGCGUGUGGGCUCACAUGCGGAGAGACUGGAGUUGAACUUAAAAAGAUUCAAAGACAAUCGAACCGGGAAAAAACGGAAGGAUAAUCGAUCGAUCAAUAAAUGUCUGAAUAAAAUCAGUUAAAAGCUAAACCAAACAGUUGAGUCUCGAGACGCUUGUGAUUAAACGCUGUACAAAUAGACUCGACUUACACUUGUUGGUGUCCCUCAAGGGGAGAUUCAACUUCCACUCUGCUUUACUUUGUGUUGCACACCCCAUUACACACAUACAGGCAUGCAAGCAGAGAUUCAGAGGGAAAGAGAUGCGCAAAGAGCGCUGCGCCACUUGAACUACAGUGGUGGGGAAGAUACCUCGACAGUAGCCAGCGAGCAGACUGGCAUCUCUCCAGUAACUAGUUGCCAUUUUUCCAUUUUGACUUGAACCCAUGUCCUUAGACUCCAUAGACAAAGUUCUUACAGACUGAGCUACUGCCUUCCCAGGAAGUCAGUAAGACCAAAGAACACCUGGAGGAGGUCAGAAAAGGCAGCGCUCGAGGAAACUCGAGUAUCCUGGAAGGAGCUGAAGGAGCUCGUCCGGGACCAAAGAUUCACAAUUGACCUCAGCGACCCGAAGAGCAAAAGGGUUGAAAUAACAGUGUCAGUCUUCAGUCUCCAAACCCUACAAUCCCAUUGGACAAACAUUCCAAAGUGCAGGAAGCAGCGUCCACUUUAGACCCAAGUGCAAAUCAAUUACGUUCAUAUGAUUCUACAAAGUGCAACACUAAUAAUAUCCAAUUUUGGAUCGCUCAAUAAAAAGCAUGAAGAUGGAGAAAGUACUCACCACAGUCAGUCGAGUCGGUUUUUUUGAUACCCUUAGUGGAGCUCGACUAAACUCUUUGUGUUGGUGUCGAUUCUGCUCCAACGUUCUAUGAUGUCUUCCAGCGACAUGGUGAUCGGUAAUAAAGAGCGGAAACCCAACUCUGGUCCCGCCUUCAUUAAGGUGAGGCCUCAAUUAUUUAACUACUUCCCUUUUUUCUGCAGACGAGUAAUUGUUUGCUUAGUGCGUCAAGAAGUGAAUCUUGUCAAACCACAUUUUUUUUAGCAGCCUGCAAUUAAUCAAUUAGAUAACUAACGUCAUAUUGGAUGCUUCUGAAACAGAACAGGUGACUACACAUGGGAAAGCACCGUGCGAUUGUGUUUGCUUGCGCUUGGAAUCAUCAAAUGCUUCCAAGGAAAAGUUUGUCACACGGCAAUGACCAACAGAAUGAGUCCACAAUGGGAUCCCGAGUUUCCUACACCGUCAGGUACCUGUUCUACUUUGGGGCUGGGAAUGUUUGGUCACCUCGCGGCAUCUUGAGUAUCCACCAUCCCCACUCCCACCACCGCAUAAUCACCAACAUCAUGCCCUCUGCCGUCCAAAUCUUUAAAAAAAAAAAAAAAAAAAAAAAGGUUUUGAAUGUACCGGCAUGACCAGAUAACUAGCAACCCUUUAUUGCGCAGGGACUGUUUUCUCAAUGUCUUUAUGCCCCAAAAGUGUUUUCUGUCAAUUGUCUGUUGUCGUACUCGAGCGGCUCCAACUACCGGAGACAAAUUCCUUGUGUGUUUUUUGGACAUACUUGGCAAAUAAAGAUGAUUCUGAUUCUGAUUCUGAAGAACUGACUGGCUAGUUGUGUUCAAGGUUACCUCGUGUCUGAGGAACUGACUGACUGGUUUUGUUUAUGGGUUUUUUCUGUCUCAGGAAGUGACUGGCCGAUUCUGAUCAAGGUUACACACCAUCUGAGACUGAUGAACUGACUGAUUGAUUCUGUUCAAGGUUACUUCCUGUCUCAGGAACAGUCUGGUUCUGGUUCAUUUCUUCCUUGCUGAGGCAGUAACUAACUGGUUCUGAUCCAGUGUUCCCAGUCAAUCGACCGUCUGUCGUCGUACGAGAGCGCCUCCGACGACCGGAGGCAAAUUCCUUGUGUGUUUGUGACGUACUUUGGAAAUAAAGAUGAUACCACAGUCGGGGCCUGUAAAACUGGAAGGCUACCUCAUCGUGGGUGUGUCCUGACUUUAGGAAUGACUAAAAGGCCCCCUGCGGCUCCUCAGGGCCCGCAGGGGUUCACAGGAUAAAAGCAACUGAAAGAUAACGAGGUCUCAGACCAUUAAGACACCUAAAAAUGGAUACUUAGAACACACGGGGAGCCAAUGCAGUGGUUUGCACAAGCGACAUUGUCCCAGAUGAUCGCGCUACUCGUCACUCUCGACCGCAUCCGCUCCUCGAAGUCUCGGCGCCCUUUGCACGAUGGUCAUUGCGCCGGACUAUUGUGAGAUUAGUCAUUCGAAGUGCUCGAAGUGCAAGAGGACAAUUGUCAAAACAAAACAAAAAUAACUAGAAACCUUUGAUUGCUCAGUGACUGUUUU